CCUCGAAUCAGGUAGGAAUACCCGCUGAACUUAAGCAUAUCAAUAAGCGGAGG
rnacentral:rRNA from 1 species